AUGGGAAGAUGAGGAACCUAUUUCUUUCUCCUCAGAUUCUAGGUGUACAAGAUUGGGGUGCAAUGGACUCAAAUUUAGUGACAUCUACCAGACUAUCCCAAUCACAAUAGCUUCCUUGCUAAUAAUCUCAAAUCAUUAGUGAAUCAAUAUUAUACAAUGAUCACUGAGUGAUUAGUUUCUUGUUUAUCUACAAUGGCAGCUUAAUGCAAAUUCUACAUUAACAUAGCAACAGAAAGAGCACCAUUGAGUCAUGCAAUGGCUUAUUCAUACUUUGCUGUGUGGAGGGAAGAAUCAGAAUGUAUUACAUCCUUUUCCCUGGCUUCAUUAGCAAUAAAUAGCAAUAAAUCAUGAAACCAUGAUUUGACCCUUGUUCCAAAACAAUGAAUUUAGAUUAGCUCAAUUAAUUGGUGACUUCUGAACGGUAUCUAUAGUCUGAUGUAGAUGUAUAUAAAGGACUCCAGUUCACAUCACAUGUGAGCACAGAAUUCUGACACUUAUAAAAUCCAUAUGCAGAGACCCAGUGUCUUUUUAGAAAAUCCUUGCGCUCAGAAAAAGUUGAUGGGAAAGUAUUUAAAAAUAAUGCUCAGUACUCACACGAGCCCAAACAGACAGGAACACCAGCAUCAGGAGGAAAUGUACGGUACAUUAUUCCACCCUGUUCAUGUCAAUGCUAAGGAAACACAAUGUGGACAACACUGAGGUCAAUGGACCACUGCUAUUCCUAGGGUGCAGCUUUUUAACAGGAGAUGAGCUCUUUGAUCUGUUUUAUAUUCUUUUGUGGUUCCCUUUUGUAAGCUAUAUUGAAAAUCUAAAUACACAUUUUCAAACAGUCAUUUCUUUCUCAUCCCGGUAUUUUUAACAAUAUAUAUUUUAUAAAAUUUUCCAAAAUUUCACAUAAAAUCCCAAUACGUAAUAAAUUUCCCUCCCCCCCCCCAUCAGGGUUGCAUAGUUGCUCUCUUCACACACAAACAGUAGCAGCAAGGUCUGUUGUUUUUAUAGCUUUUAUUUCUUGCUAUUUCCACAACUGGGCAUUUCAAUCUGUGUCGUUCUCGUCAGUUGGUCCCACUGAUUUACGGCGUCUUUUCCAAGAGCUAAAGCGGGGAAUUUUUUUCCGACCUUCCGCCUACGUUCGCGUAAUCUCCCAAUGCGCCUUGCGUGAGGGGACUCAGGUCUUUGCCCGUCCUCUGAUUCAGGAACUUAACCCUUGCACGGUCUGUGAACUUGCCUGUUCACUUUCCUGCGUCUCUUUUGUUUGUGUUCCCUCCCCCUCCGUGGGCUGUAAAACCCCCAAAAACCUGCUUGUUUCUGGCUUCUUUCAUCUUUGGUAGCAGGGUUUGCUACCUCUUCCUGCUGCUGCCCGUUCAGUUCAGCCUCACUGGGGUAUCGUAUGUCAGGGGACUCAGAGUGUUCUGAAGGCACCCUGACACCUACUUUCCAUCCCAUUUUCCAUGGUGUUUUUUUAUUCUAUCGCAUUGCUGCACCCUAACUUCACUCUUUUGUAUCAUAGCAAAAAUACAACAGUCUCUAAUUAUUUCCAUUGCUCAUAGUUCAAAUCCUGCUCGCGAAUUUGUGAUAUUGUCAUAUUUCUUCAAAUAGUCCUAAAAAGGCUUCCAUUAAACAUAAAACAGUCAUGGUUAAGUUCUGUUAUUUUAGCUGCCAGCUUUGCAGGUCUAUUCUUUGCUUAUCCAUUCUUUUCUGCUAAGAACGUCUUCAUUUUUCCAAUUCUGUGCAUAGAGAAUCCUAGCUGUUGUAGUCAUAUACACAAAUAACUUAACCAUCUUUUUUGGAACUUCUGACCCUAUAACCCCAAAAGCUUCAGUUUUAUUGUUUGUUUUUCUUUGGGGAGGGUGUAUAAUAACUUUGAAUAUCCUUUUUAUCUCGUCAUAUAUCAUUUUUCCAAAAUCCCUUGCUUUCUUUCAGGUCCACCACACUUUCUCAUCCUGGUCUUCUUUUAUCUUCUUCCAACUGCCCAUGAUUGUCAAGGAGGUUUACCACCAUCUCCAUAGGAUCUCAGACUCGAGCACCAAAGAAGAGACACUUUCAGCAGUCGUCAGCCUCGCCACAAAGUGUCUGAGCCCAGUGGUGGACAGCUUGCUGGAGUGCUCAGCAGAGUGCAAUGAAAGAGCCGCAGCGAUGUGGAAAGCCUUAGCCGCCGAUCCUUAUUCCAGCAGCAAGCUGAUGAAACCCAUCCUCCAAAGGCUUCAGGAUAAAGACCCCAAUUACAUGCGAUGCAGCAUGUCACAAACUCCCAAUAGUGGACCUUAUUCACAUCAUCCACAGAAGAGUACAAGAACAUUGCCAGAUAACAUGUGCCAUCCGAACACUAAGAAAAGAGCCAUAGGGAUGUUUCAGGACCUUGUUCACAUCAUCCACAGAAGAGUACAAGAGCAUUGCCAGACUGGCACGGGAAUAUAUGCGUCAUCCCAACUUGAAGAAAAGAGCCACAGGGAUGGCAUUCUACUUGGAGGUGAGGGUCGGAAAUGGGGAACGCCUGCAGGCGCUCCUGCUUUGAAACAACUGUGCCCAGGCAGGCAAGGAAAGCAGAGGGUGCAAGAAGGUCUCGUGGGGGCAAGGGAAGCAUGCAACACACCUAUGUGGGGAGCGAACUCCACAAUUUACCACCCUUCUCUAAAUCCAUUUGCAUUCAUCAUUGUUUCAUAAGAACAGGGCAGAGCAGAUAAUGUCUACAGGGAGGGUGGAAUGAAAUCUGCAAGAGCAAAUCUGGAUUCUGGGGUUGGCUAAAAAGAAAAGCAAAUGAACUACUCUUGUUUUACACAAUUUAUAUCUGGGUUGUUUCCUGCCAGCUCCGAGUUCUGCAGGAGCACUGGAAAUCAUAUUCAGCAAACUCUGCUGGCUCUGGAGAUUGAUUUGCAAGAUACUGCCCUGCACUCUCAAGCAUCCCUUCCUUGACAGAGAGAGCUACAUAUGGCUUCGGAUACAACUUGGGUGAAAUCGGAGAGGAGUAGAGGGUAGUGAUGGGGGCAACACAAUCAGGUGGGCGGGGUGCAAGUAACCCUGGUGGUGGUGGUUGUUGUGCAGGAACACUUAGCGGUUCUUCCUGCCAGCUUCAGGCUUGUGCAUCCUUUGUCUCUUACGCUUAUGUUUCAGGACCUUGUUCACAUCAUCCACAGAAGAGUACAAGAACAUUGCCAGAUAACAUGUGCCAUCCGAACACUAAGAAAAGAGCCAUAGGGAAGUUUCAGGACCUUGUUCACAUCAUCCCAGGAGCAAUUCAAGCCCAUUUCCAGACUGGCACGUGACUAUAUGCGUCAUCCUAACUCCAAGAAAAGAGCCAUUGGCAUGGCGUUCUACUUGGAGGACCUUGUUCACAUCAUCCACAGAAGAGUACAAGAACAUUGCCAGAUAACAUGUGCCAUCCGAACACUAAGAAAAGAGCCAUAGGGAUGUUUCAGGACCUUGUUCACAUCAUCCACAGAAGAGUACAAGAGCAUUGCCAGACUGGCACGGGAAUAUAUGCGUCAUCCCAACUUGAAGAAAAGAGCCACAGGGAUGGCAUUCUACUUGGAGAGUCAGAAGAUAUGGAGAAAGUGAUUGAGUGGAUGGCCAAUUUGUUGCCGGAAUUGGGAAUUUUGAAAGACACGCUCGACCGCAUACAUAGGGUCGGGAAGCUGAGAAAUGAGUCAACUUGGCCAAGAGACGUGGUAAUGUGCUUUGGGAGAUACAGAGAGAGAGCAGGUAUUCAAGGCAAUGAAAGACUUCGAUAGACUUGAUAAACUGUUGUAUAAUGGCAAGAAUGUGAUGGUUUUUGAUGACUUAUCUCUGGAAACAAUUAAAAGAUCGAGGCAAACUGAUAGAGUACUUACAAUUAGCAAAGAGAAUGGGGAUAGUGAGAGGAAACUCAACACAAGUAAAUAAGGAAUAAAUAAUUAAGGAGUAUCUCAAAGGGUACUGUGACAAUAAAAGCUUCCUGGCAGAUAUUGAAUGAGCCAUGCAAUACAAAGUAUCUGUUAGAAAAAGUUAAAUUACGUUAAAGAAAAACAACUUUACAUAACUGUGUAAAUAAUAGUUUAAUUGUAAAUCAGCGCAAUGGGUUUAGUCAGAAGUUUCUUUUCUUUGCAGAUUCGCACAUAGUAUUUACUAUAUUUGAUGGUUGUAAUUUACUUAAUAUGUAUUUUAAAACUGUUUUUUCUAUCCACACUCAUUUCUUUUUCUUUUCCCUCUGUCUAUAUUCUUUAUAAUCUACAAUUAAGUGAAUGUUUGUUGGUAUUGUAUGUAUUUUAAGAUUUCUCUUGCUCAAUAAAAAAUAAAAGAAAAAAAUUACUGUGGUUUUUCUAUUAAGUACUAUUGAAUGUUUCAUAAAGUUUGGUCUGUGUCUUCUGGGGGUAAAGAAACAAAAAACACUGUACUUUCUCAAUGCAGUUCUCAAACAGGAGAAAUGUGCAGUUGUGCCACUAGGGGCACUGCAGGGAAGUGCCUCCAGUUUAGUUUGUGUACCUCGGACCUCCUACAAUUGAGUAAUUGUUGGUAUACAGAAGGUGAUAGUUUCUGUCCUCCUCUCCAGCCUUAACUGACAGGUAAGAGGGUAAAUUUGUCUGACAAAUUAGUUUCUCUUUUGUAACCCUUAAAUGACGCCUGAUAUCUUUGGGAUCCCUGGAUCCUGAAUUAGAAUUUGAGGAUGAAGUCCAUAUUAAUCCUGAUGUGCAUCUUGAUUCUGGGGAACCCCAGUGUGACACAAGGAAACGUCUUUGUAAAGCAUGAGAAAAUGUCACCCUUUACUAUGAACAUCCUAGAAAGGUAGCUGACAUGUCCCUCAUUCCAGGACUGAUCAAGGAUCCUGAUAUUGUGUUGGCAGGCCUAAUAUAUAACCAAAGUGGCCUUUUUGCUACACCUCCUUCUGAAUUGAAUGGCACCUCCUACCGGUAUUUCCGGUUCUCCUCAACCACCCAAGGCUUGUGUUUUUGUUGCUAUGCCUCUGGGGCAUGGAACUCCAAAUGGAAAGAUUGGCACCAGGUACAAUGCCACCAACGUAAAAGUUGGCUAGGAAAUUAUACACACUGCACCGAUAAAUUUUGGUUGUGGGGUUCCUUCAAUACCUCCUACCAAGGAAACACCACACCUUCAGAUUUGUAUCAAUACUUCCCCCCCAUAUACAGUCAAUUUCACCAGACAGGGAUCCAUCUAUUAUGGAUGGAUGAUUAAGGAUCCGAAUCUAUGGUUCCUGGCUUGCUACAAACUACCACCCUGGUAAUUAUCACUGUGUCGGAAUCAGAGCCUUCACUUUCCCUGCGACUGUAGAGACUUUCCUUCCCCGUGCCUCUAGAAACAGGAAAUGGAGGGAAGUCCAAGCGGAACGGUGUAGUGAUGAAAUCCUACCUGACCCGUUCCAUAGGUGCUAAAUAUAUAUCCAGGAGUCAUUUCUGAACAACAUCCGCGAAGCCCUUUUCGCCUUAACAUGUAGGUUGGAGAAAUGUUAAAAUGGACAUAGGAUUUAGGAAGGGUUGUGUCCACACUUAUUGGUUUGAUUUUGCUGCAGUUUAUGAAUAUGUAAUGCCUAAAGCUGUUUGGAAAAAAGGUAUAUAAACCCAAAGCACCAGCACCCAGUCUUUGGAAACCAUUCCGCCGGGUCUUAUUGCUGUCAGCAAUAAAAUUUUACUUUCUUUUUCUCCAUUACUGUGUGUGAUUUUUGAGCACACCUUGAACAGGUAUCGGGUAUUUAGGUAACCCUUCGCAACAGAAUGAGAAACUGCAUGACCAGUGUAUACAUGCGUACCAGCGUCUAUUUGGCCAUUUGCAUUUCUAGGCAGUAGCCAAAAUGCCAAGUAUGGUUGAGGGCAUGAAAUUGCAAAAUUGUCCUUAACAUAUGAAGUGUUUUUCUUGUGCAGAAAACAAAGCUAAGCAAGCUCCCAAAGGUGUAAAAUCUGGGAGAAAAGCUAAGAAACCUUAUGAAGUUAUACAUGCUGACUU